UACCAGCUCUUCGAGUGGUGUGGAUGUUUAUUGGGCCUAAAGCAUCCGUAGCUGGCUGGGCAAGUCCCCUGUUAAAUCCACCGAUUUAAUCGUUGGAGUGCGGGGGAUACUGUUCGGCUAGGGGACGGGAGAGGCAGACGGUAUUUUCGGGGUAGGGGUGAAAUCCUAUAAUCCCGGGAAGACCACCAGUGGCGAAGGCUGUCUGCUAGAACGCGCCCGACGGUGAGGGAUGAAAGCUGGGGGAGCGAACCGGAUUAGAUACCCGGGUAGUCCCAGCUGUAAACGAUGCAGGCUAGGUGUUUGGGCGGCCACGUGCCGCUCUAGUGCCGCAGGGAAGCCGUUAAGCCUGCCGCCUGGGGAGUACGGCCGCAAGGCUAGAAACUUAAAGGAUUGGGCGGGGAGCACCACGAAGGGGUGAAGCUUGCGGUUU
rnacentral:rRNA from 1 species